rnacentral:rRNA from 1 species
UACGUAGGGACCAAGCGUUGUUCGGAUUUACUGGGCGUAAAGGGCGCGUAGGCGGCUUAACAAGUCACUUGUGAAAUCUCCGGGCUUAACUCGGAACGGCCAAGUGAAACUGUCAAGCUAGAGUGCAGAAGGGGCAAUCGGAAUUCUUGGUGUAGCGGUGAAAUGCGUAGAUAUCAAGAGGAACACCUGAGGUGAAGGCGGGUUGCUGGGCUGAUACUGACGCUGAGGCGCGAAAGCCAGGGGAGCGAACGGG